rnacentral:rRNA from 1 species
GACGAACGCUGGCGGCGUGCUUAACACAUGCAAGUCGAGCGGUAAGGCCCAGCUUUGGUUGGGUACACGAGCGGCGAACGGGUGAGUAACACGUGGGUGACCUGCCUUCAGCUUCGGGAUAAGCCUGGGAAACUGGGUCUAAUACCGGAUAUGACCUUGGCCCGCAUGGGUUGGGGUGGAAAGCCUGGUUGUGAUGACUUGGUGGCUGGGGAUGGGCCCGCGGCCUAUCAGCUUGUUGGUGGGGUGAUGGCCUACCAAGGCGA